rnacentral:tRNA from 1 species
UAAAAUAUAAAUGUAUAUAUUUCAAUUAUACUAUUACUUAAUAAUAUUUUCAAUUUAAUAUU